rnacentral:lncRNA from 1 species
GUUGAAAAACGGCGUUAAACCCAAAACAAACAAUUAUAUCUUCCAUUAUUUUGGUCCUUCAAAGUUUUUAUGUUAAGAUUGCCAGGAGUAUCACAAAUAUAAAUCAGUAUGAACGUCAAAUUAUUUUGACGCGCCCUCCGGUGACCGGACAGCUAACAAAUUCUCAGAUUUCACCAAGAUUCCUGUGAAUUUCACCAAGAUUCCUGUGACAGUCAGUUUUAUGAGUCAAGGUUACAACAAGAUCUCAUUUCUGCAUCUGGAAGAGUCUACUUCACCAAAGAUGUGUUUGAGCUUCUCUGUGAAUUGGGUGUUUCAACUAUAAAAGUUUUACUCGAGUAUAAAAAUUAAUAGUUAUCAGAAACCAUGCCUUCGUGUCUGCUCAGGCUUUUGCAGAGACAUACAAUUCUGUCUUCCACAACGAGCAUCCUCACAUGAAACAGUUCAUUGCAUGGCAAUGUCAUAUGAGACUCACAAGUACAAAUGGUAUAUUGCUAAUUGUAACAUUUGAUUUACCUAAAAGCAGUUAUUAUUAAAAAUAUGUGUAAACUUUAAUGCAUUUAUAUCAGACAAGUCACACACAAAUGUCAGACAGGGAAGUUCAAUAAAUAAUUUAUUACAUUAAAAAAAAUCUGAAAUUUGGGAAAAUAUAUCUCAGAUUAUUACAUGGCUUGAUUUGAUUUCAGUUAAACAAAGAAGGAAAUUAAGCUCUGUAUAUUUAACAAAUAAUCAAGGCCUUCGAGUUGUUCAUCAUCUGAUUUACCAGGGUUCAGAGUUUGGAUGUGUAGGAAUUGAACCACGAGGGCGUUAGCCCGAGUGGUU